AUUGAACGCUGGCGGCAGGCUUAACACAUGCAAGUCGAGCGGGGGAGGUUGCUUCGGUAACUGACCUAGCGGCGGACGGGUGAGUAAUGCUUAGGAAUCUGCCUAUUAGUGGGGGACAACAUUCCGAAAGGGAUGCUAAUACCGCAUACGCCCUACGGGGGAAAGCAGGGGAUCUUCGGACCUUGCGCUAAUAGAUGAGCCUAAGUCGGAUUAGCUAGUUGGUGGGGUAAAGGCCUACCAAGGCGACGAUCUGUAGCGGGUCUGAGAGGAUGAUCCGCCACACUGGGACUGAGACACGGCCCAGACUCCUACGGGAGGCAGCAGUGGGGAAUAUUGGACAAUGGGCGGAAGCCUGAUCCAGCCAUGCCGCGUGUGUGAAGAAGGCCUUUUGGUUGUAAAGCACUUUAAGCGAGGAGGAGGCUCUUAAGGUUAAUACCCUUGAUGAGUGGACGUUACUCGCAGAAUAAGCACCGGCUAACUCUGUGCCAGCCGCCGCAGUAAAAC
rnacentral:rRNA from 1 species